CGCCGCGAUCCGUGAGGAGCCUACCGGCUCAUCCGGCGCCGGCAGUGCUGCGGCAGCAGCCACGACCCGGCCCGGCCCGAGACCUGCAUCCCUUCAGAGCUGGAUAGCCUGUCUGCCCAGCAUGAUACAGCUGACGGGUGGAUGAAAUGGCAGCAGACGUGGCUUGGUGUAUAGAUUGCCCCGCUGCUGUGGAGCCCCCUCAAGCAUAGAUGCCAUGCAAGCUGUGCUGACCCCGGCCUGGCUCCUGCGGGUCACUGCAUGUCAAGGACGUCCCAACAGUCAGUGAAGCUUCUCCUCACCAACGUGUGAUCGCAUCGUGCCUUGGGUUGUCGUGGUCAGUCAGCACAGUAGCAAAAUAGUGCUGCUGACUCUGAAAGAGAUAAUGGAGAAAGGGCGAGUCCUCAGGAGGUCCCCCAGCAGAACCAGGACCCUGUUGAAACCGAAACAAAGGGGACCGAAGGUACUGACUUUGCAGAACAGGAAAGUCUUCACGAUGAGCUGCUACCUGAACUGGACAGCCAGGAAAGGGCAGAGCUGCUGCGGUGGAUCGAUGCCACACAGCCACCGAGCCCAGACGUCCCCAGCAGCACAAAAACACCACCAUUCAUCACAUUGCUCCCUGACUUUCCCUGGGCCAGCAGGGAGCGAAACGGAGAGGGAGAGACUGAGGCCUGGAUCAGCAGCGACCUGUUCUGCACACAUCCAUUGUGCUCCAGGCAGUUCCCCAGGCCGCUGUCCUGCAGGCCUUUCCUGCUGUCCUGCAGCACAUCACCAAAGCUGCUCGUGUUAACCCCCCUGGAUGUCCCAGCACUUCCCUUUCACCGCACAGCACAUCUGAUGGAGGAGGCACAGCAGACGCAGCCCCAGGUGGUUCUCACCCGCCUGGCACUGCCACCUGGCUGCACCUCCUGCUCCGUGCCGGACAACCACAGCGGGGAUGGCACCGAGCCGGCUGA